UACGAAGGGUGCAAGCGUUAAUCGGAAUUACUGGGCGUAAAGGGCGCGUAGGCGGUUCGUUAAGUCUGGCGUGAAAUCCCCGGGCUCAACCUGGGAAUGGCGAUGGAUACUGGCGAGCUAGAGUGUGUCAGAGGAUGGUGGAAUUCCCGGUGUAGCGGUGAAAUGCGUAGAGAUCGGGAGGAACAUCAGUGGCGAAGGCGGCCAUCUGGGACAACACUGACGCUGAAGCACGAAAGCGUGGGGAGCAAACAGG
rnacentral:rRNA from 1 species